AAUUUUGGACAAUGGGGGAAACCCUGAUCCAGCCAUCCCGUGUGGAUGAUGAAGGCCUUCGGGUUAUAAAGUACUUUUGGCAGAGAAGAAAAGGUACCUCCUAAUACGAGGUACUGCUGACGGUAUGUGCAGAAUAAGUACCGGCUACCUACGUGGCAGCAGCGGCGGUAAUACGUAGGGUGCAAGCGUUAAUCGUAAUUACUGGGCGUAGAGCGUGUGUAGGCGGUUCGCAAAGAAAGAUGUGAAAUCCCAGGGUUCAACCUUGGAACUGCAUUUUUAACUGCCGAGCUAGAGUAUGUCAGAGGGGGGUAGAAUUCCACGUGUAGCAGUGAAAUGCGUAGAUAUGUGGAGGAAUACCGAUGGCGAAGGCAGCCCCCUGGGAUAAUACUGACGCUCAGACACGAAAGCGUGGGGAGCAAAC
rnacentral:rRNA from 1 species